CAGAACGAACGCUGGCGGCGUGCUUAACACAUGCAAGUCGAACGCGAAAGGGACUUCGGUCCUGAGUAAGUGGCGCACGGGUGAGUAACGCGUAGAUAACCUGUCUUCAUGUCUGGAAUAAUACGCCGAAAGGGGUACUAAUACCGGAUAUUCUUGCUUUUCAUAAGUUAUGCAAGCAAAGGUGGCCUCUGCAUAUGCUACUGCAUGAAGAGGGGUCUGCGUACCAUUAGCUAGUAGGUGGGGUAAUGGCCUACCUAGGCGACGAUGGUUAGCGGGUCUGAGAGGAUGAUCCGCCACACUGGCACUGGAACACGGGCCAGACUCCUACGGGAGGCAGCAGUGAGGAAUAUUGCGCAAUGGGGGAAACCCUGACGCAGCGACGCCGCGUGAGUGAGGGAAAGGCCUUCGGGUCGUAAAGCUCUGUCAAGAGGAAAGAAGUGUACAAUGGCUAAUACCUGUUGUAUUUGACGGUACCUCUAAAGGAAGCACCGGCUAACUCCGUGCCAGCAGCUGC
rnacentral:rRNA from 1 species